AUGCCUGAGAAGGUCAAGCAGACAGAGACUAAAACAACAGAAGUUGGGUUAAUAAAGGCCAAACCGAAAGUUAAGGAGGAGAAAGCACUUCAGACUGUAACUAAAUCAGAAAAGAAAGAUCAAUAUGCAUUCUGUCGCUAUGUGAUUGACAUGUUUGCGCAAGGGGAUUUUUAUCCAGGACAUAAGGAAAUGGCAUCACCUCGUCUUCUUCUAGAACAUAGUCCAAGAAAGAAAACAGCAGCUAUUGAAGAAGAGAAGUCUAUUGUGGUAACUAAGGAAGUGAAAAAAAGAAAGGAUGAAAAGAAAAGGACUGAUAUAAGGAGGUCUGUUACUGAAACUAAGAAGAAAGAAAAAGAAGGAAAAAAAGAGAAAGCUCAUGAGAAGACAGCUGUCCCUGAAAUUAAAAAAGCAGAGCCAGCAAAAGACCCUGCAGCUAAUCCAUCCACCAAAAAAGCAGUAACACCAGAAACACAUAGGAAAGAAAAAAUGGUGGAUACUGCCAAAACAGCAAAGAAAGAAGCAAAAGUACAUGCAUCUGUGGAAACUCUGAAGUCAAAAGCAGCACCUGAAAAGAAGGAAGAAAAAGCAAUGAAGGCAGGAGAGCAAGAUCCUGGAAAAGACAAAGAAUUGAAAUCUCCAGCGGCUACAAAAGAUAAAGAACACACUAAAGAAAAGGAAGGAAAGAAUCCUAUAGCUUUAAAAGAUAAAGAGUCUCUGAAAGGAAAAAAUCCCAAGAAUCCAGAGGGGUCAAAGGAAAAAGAGACUGGUAAAAGAAAAGAUGUGAGGCCUCCGGCAGUCUUAAAGGAAAAGGACUCCUCAAAGGGAAAAGAAAUGAAGCUUUCACCUACAACUAAGGAGAAAGCUGCGGUGAAAAAGGAAGGGGAGAAGAAAGGUAAAUCAAUUAUUUUCCCUUGUCUGAAGUGUCUUUCAGGCUCUGACUGCUGUGAGAAAUGUUUCUUUCAUUCAGUGAUACAAUUGCAAUGA
rnacentral:lncRNA from 1 species